rnacentral:rRNA from 1 species
AUUGAACGCUGGCGGCAGGCUUAACACAUGCAAGUCGAGCGGAGAUGAGGUGCUUGCACCUUAUCUUAGCGGCGGACGGGUGAGUAAUGCUUAGGAAUCUGCCUAUUAGUGGGGGACAACGUUCCGAAAGGAAUGCUAAUACCGCAUACGCCCUACGGGGGAAAGCAGGGGAUCUUCGGACCUUGCGCUAAUAGAGGAGCCUAAGUCGGAUUAGCUAGUUGGUGGGGUAAAGGCCUACCAAGGCGACGAUCUGUAGCGGGUCUGAGAGGAUGAUCCGCCACACUGGGACUGAGACACGGCCCAGACUCCUACGGGAGGCAGCAGUGGGGAAUAUUGGACAAUGGGCGGAAGCCUGAUCCAGCCAUGCCGCGUGUGUGAAGAAGGCCUUUUGGUUGUAAAGCACUUUAAGCGAGGAGGAGGCUACCUGGAUUAAUACUCUAGGAUAGUGGACGUUACUCGCAGAAUAAGCACCGGCUAACUCUGUGCCAGCCGCCGCGGUAACAC